UUAUCGCACCUUAGUGAGAUUGAGUUGGGUCACUUCGAGUUGUUGUCGUCUUUAGCUUCAGUUGUCGGAGGUUUAUUUUUAUACCAGAUUUAAAGCCCUCCAUUUGGAGUAGGUUCUUAUUUAUCGCUUUAUUUAUUUAUUUCCUACAUCGCUUUUAUUUAUUUAUUUCCCGCAUCGCUUUUAUUUUAUUUAUUUCCCGCAUCACUUUUAUUUUAUUUAUUUCCCGCACUCGCUUUACUUUAUUUAUUU
rnacentral:lncRNA from 1 species